ensembl:ncRNA lncRNA:CR44320 long non-coding RNA:CR44320
AUUCUCGAUUCUCGAGUCUUGAGUCCCAGGGAGGGGGUGGCCAAAAGGGAAACCAGACGUGUCCUCGUUCCAGGACUACGACUUCGGCUGGAUUCGAUGCGAUUCGGCUGCUCUUUCGGUUCGGUUUCGGCUUUCGACGCACUGCACUCGCUGCGACAAGAGUUUUGAAGUUCCCGCUGGCCGAGUUUCGAAUCAGUUGCCGCCGACUUGUUGGGUCAUUUGCAUAUAAAUCGAUCAGUGCGCCAGUUAUCGGGCCAUCGGAACAAAAGCAAAACAUUUCAAUUAACUAACGAUCAAUUAGUAGAACUGGAUAAGAAAAAGCCGCUAUAAAACCGAGUGACUUCUCGAAAUAAAUAAUUAAUUAUCUGACUUUCCUGUCCGCAAUGUCAAGGACGUUGUCGCAUUGUCGUUGCCAUCCGCUUGGCUGAAGCUAAUUUCAUUGAGAAGGAAAGCGAGGGGAUCCUGCCAGAAGGCUGGCGCCCGACGGUGGGAAUUUCAUCAGCUGUUGUUGUUGUUCAUUUCACAGCAGCAGUCGGCCUAAUAAAAAUGCAAUUUUUAUGGUUAAGAAAAUAGUGCGCGAACGCCGUUGUGUUGCACAUUGGAAAUUGUGCAGAAGCCAGAAGAAAAUGUGUCUUGGAAAAUGGAAAAGCACGAGCAGCAGUAGCACCAGCAGCAGCUAUAACAUUGAGCCAGUGAUGUAAUACAGAGCAAAAGUGAAGCGGCGGCAAUUGGCAUUGCAAAAAAGAAACAGAUUAUACAAUUUGUGUUGCUGCCGCACUGAACUAGGACAACAGCAGCAACAACAGCAGCAGCAACAACAACCACUAGUGAUAAAGACCGGCUGGCAACAGUGCAGCGGCCACUUGCAGCAACAUAAUUUCAAAGUCGGAGCGUGGGAAUCGCAAAUCACGGCAGUGGCAGCAACAACAGCAACUGCAGCAACACUCGAGCACUCGUGGCUCUCCGGAUCGCUCAUUUCGCUCGCCGUUCUCGCGCUGGCGUUUCUCCGUUUCGCUCGCACCCGCCUGUGGAGCAGUCGCGUAUAUUUGGAGGCGUUGGGGCGAACGCUCACGACAGUUGUGCUU